rnacentral:rRNA from 1 species
AUGCAAGUCGAACGAGGUGCUUGCACCUAGUGGCGAACGGGUGAGUAACACGUGAGCAACCUGCCCUUGGCUCUGGGAUAGCCUCCGGAAACGGGGAUUAAUACCGGACAUGACCACCGUCGGCAUCGGCGGUGGUGGAAAGUUUUUCGGCCAGGGAUGGGCUCGCGGCCUAUCAGCUUGUUGGGGGGGUAACGGCCCACCAAGGCGACGACGGGUAGCCGGCCUGAGAGGGCGACCGGCCACACUGGGACUGAGACACGGCCCAGACUCCUACGGGAGGCAGCAGUGGGGAAUAUUGCGCAAUGGGGGAAACCCUGACGCAGCGACGCCGCGUGCGGGAUGAAGGCCUUCGGGUUGUAAACCGCUUUCACCGGGGACGAAGCGAGAGUGACGGUACCCGGGGAAGAAGCGCCGGCUAACUACGUGCCAGCAGCCGCGGUAAUACGUAGGGCGCAAGCGUUGUCCGGAAUCAUUGGGCGUAAAGAGCUCGUAGGCGGCCUGUCGCGUCUGCUGUGAAAUCCCGGGGCUUAACCCCGGGCGUGCAGUGGAUACGGGCUGGCUGGAGGCAGGCAGGGGAGAACGGAAUUCCCGGUGUAGCGGUGAAAUGCGCAGAUAUCGGGAGGAACACCGG